UCCCUCCCUCUCCAGCCAAUCCCUCCCCUUGCCCAGCUUGGGCGCCGUGCUCCAAUGCCGUGUGAGGAGGCCUGGGGGGCGGGGGAGGACGAGUCGCGGUAGCGGAGGAGCCGGGGGCAGACAGACCCAGCAGAGGAGGGAGGAGGAGGAGGAGGAGGACGAGGGCGACUCAUCCCCAGCCUGGUUCCGCAGAGGAGCUCGGCGUGAGCCCGAGGGAGCCGGGGCAGAGCGGCUGAAGCGAACGCCUGGCCGCAGCGAGAGGGAGCGGCGGAGGGAGAGGCUGGGCCGGCUCCCCGCCCUGCGCCGGGCUCUCCUGGGGGAGGAGGGCGGCUGGCUGGCUGGCUGCUUGUUCCGGCCUCCUCCUCCUCUCUUUAACCACCCCAAAAUGAUUCAGCUCCAUGGCGGCCACUGACGGGAAUGGCCCUGCCCGGCUCAGGCUGCUGCCGCCGCCCUGCUGCGUGCCAGCCUUGUACGUAUCCGCCGGCGCCUGGCUGCUCCUAGGCGCCCCAGCCUGCCGCUCCGCGGAGCCCCCGACACCCCCUCGCCUCUGCUCCGCACCCGGCCGCUCCCCCGGGGCCCCGCGGCGGGGAGGUCUGCUCUGCCCGCAGUCACCCCGCUGUAGCUGCACGCAGCUCGGCUGGGAGCCGGGGAAGGGGGGCGGGCGGUUGCUUUCCGAGUUGGCCGGAUAACGUGGGUAUUUUCUUCCCCUCCCCUCCCCGGCGGAGAAGAGGGCUCGGGGGGAGUGGAGAUCGGAGGGGAAAGUGAACGGCGAAGGACUGAAAGUGUCACGUUCACUGGCUCUGAUCUGAAGGCGGCGGAGGGACCCGGCCUCGCCCCCGCCCCCGAGAGGAGGAGGAAAAGGGGCGGUUUAGUGGCAGUGCCGGCUGUGCCGAGGCGUCUCAGCCUGCGCUGUGUGCGCCAGCGGGGAGAGGGGGUUGUGUGUGCGUGUGGUGCCUCUGCCCUGGGUUGCAUGCAAAGCUAACUGUGUGGCUGUCUCUCUCCGGGCCGGGCAAUUGCACUCUUAAAAUAAAGCCGGUACAAUGCACCAGCCUGACUCAGCCGCAGACCUUAGUGCUAGGAAGAUGGCGCACCCGGCAAUGUUUCCUAGAAGGGGCAGCGGCGGCAGCUGCGUUACUGCGCUCAAUGCACCAGGUACCGGCGCUGGUAGCGGUGCCCUCUCCACCGAGGAUUAUCCGCCGCCGCUGCUCAUCCAGCCGCCGCCUCCAUCUCUUGCAGCAUCUUCAUCGGCGGGUCCACAGCCUCCACCCCCUCCUCCGCAAAGCCUGAACCUCCUCGCUCAGCCUCAACUCCAGCCACAGCCUCUUGCACAGGCUGGAGCCCAAAUGAAAAAGAAAAGUGGCUUCCAAAUUACCAGCGUGACCCCAGCUCAGAUCUCCGCCAGUAUGAGCUCCAACAACAGCAUAGCCGAGGACACGGAAAGCUACGACGACCUGGAUGAGUCCCACACUGAAGACCUGUCGUCUUCAGAAAUUUUGGAUGUUUCUUUAUCCAGGGCCACUGACUUGGGUGAACCUGAACGGAGCUCCUCCGAAGAGACUUUAAAUAACUUCCAAGAGGCUGAGACUCCUGGGGCCAUCUCUCCAAACCAGCCUCACCUUCCUCAGCAGCAUAUCCCUUUGCCUCAUCACCCACAGCAGAGUGUUGUGAUCAAUGGAAAUGUUCACCCCCAUCAUGGUCACCAUCACCACCACCUUCAUCAUCACCAUCAUGGGCAUCAUCAUCCAUCGCAUCCUGGGGUGGGCAGUACACCAGCUUCUGGAGGACCACCCCCAAGUCCAUCAUUUAGAAAGCUGUCCACAGCUGGAAGCUCUGACAAUGUUAUCACAACUGCACCAGUUUCUGCUGCAUCAUCCACUGGUACACCUGCAUCUGCCCUGUCUAAUAUUCGCACUACGAGUACUCCUGUCAGUGUAGGUGUAAGUCCUGUUACUGGAACUAGUACGUUAAGUAAUGUGGGCGGUGGUAGUCCUAGUAUGACAAGCAGCAUGCUUGGUAACGUUAAUAUAAACUUAAGCAACAUCGCAAGUGCUGCUAGUGUACAUGCUUUGUCUGGAACGAGCAGCAAUAUUAAUGUGAAUAUCUUGAGUGGUGUUGGCAAUGGUACAAGUGCUUCCUCUAAUAUCAUUAAUAAUGUUACUAAUCCAACUGCAGGAAUCGCAGUGGGAUCAAGUCAGCAGCAGCCUGCAGCUGGCACAUCAAGGUUUAGAGUUGUAAAAUUAGACUCCAGUUCUGAACCUUUUAAAAAAGGUAGAUGGAUAUGCACUGAAUUCUAUGAUAAAGAAAACACUGUAACAGUUACAGAAGGAGUAGCAGUAAACAAAGUGGUAGAGACUAUAAAACAAAAUCCAUUUGAAGUGACUUCUGAAAGGGAGAGCACGAGUGGGAGUUCUGUUAGCAGCAAUGUAAGCACACUGAGUCACUACACAGAAAGUGUGGGAAGCGGGGAAAUGGGAGCACCUACUGUGAUACAACAGCAGACAUUUCAAGGUGUGGGUCCACAGCAGAUGGAUUUUAGUAGUGCUGGACCUCAGACUAUUCCAGCAUCCAAUAUACCACAGAGUAUUUCUCAGUCACAGCUUGCACAAGUACAAUUGCCUUCUCAAGAAGUAAACUAUCCACAGCAAAAGCAAGGAGUCCAGCCUUCAGUGCAGGCUAGUCUAACAACAGUUACUGGUGUUCAGUCAACUCCAGUUAAUGUGGUAGGUGUAUCAUCUUUAGGUCACCAACAACCUGCCAUUCCAAGUGUGGCUCAACAGCAGCUAUCAUAUUCUCAACCCUCACAGCCUGUGCAAACUUUGCCUGUUGUACCACAACAGCAGUUACAGUAUGGACAACAACAGACACUUCCUACGCAGAUGGCCCCAGCACGAGUUAAACCAGUGAAUCAGAGUUGCAUGACAGGGACCAUACCGGACUACAUACAACAUCAGCAGAUACUUCAGCCUCCAGUGCCUGCUGUGCAGUCCAGCUCUACAGGAGUAGGAGCAGGAACACCGGUUCCUGUUGCUCAGGCACCAAGUAUCCAACCUUCUGUACAAGUACACCCUGCUGUGGCACCAGCUCAGCCUGUUGCACAUGCUCAGACAGCAAUGCCACUUGUAGGUACUAGUGGUCAAAUUAUUAACGUUGGACAACAAGGAAAUGUACCUGCUGUGGUGCAGCAGCCACCUGUUGCAAACCAAAUUACACCUUCAGUUAUGCAGCAAAGUGCUGCUCCUCUGUCUUCACAAGUGGUGCAGCCUGUUCAGACUGGGAUAAUUCAGCAGGGGCUACAAGCUGGUGCUUCAAGCCUUCCUCCGCAGAUGGUCAUUGCUUCACAAAAUGCUUUAUCUGUACAACCCCAGGCACAAGUAGAAACUGUAGUUCAAGGAAUGACCAGCCAGCCAUUGCCUGCAGUUAGCCCUAUACCUUCUACUAGUACUGUUCCUGCACCAAGUCAAGCUAGUUCAAAUGUACCUCCUGGUAUACCUUCUGCUCCUGUAAUUUUGGGUCCAUCACAGAACAUAGCACAAGCUUCAGCUGUGCAAAAUGGGAAUUUGGUUCAAAGUGUUAGUCAGCCUCCCUUGAUAACAACUAGUAUAAGUAUGCCAGUGGCACAGAAUGUGCCACAACAGAUACCGCUAAGCACUACCCAGUUCUCUGCACAAUCACUAACUCAGUCAGUUGUAAGCCAAAUUGAAGAUGGGAGGCGCCCUACAGAUCCUUCCUUAGUUGGUUUACCUCAAGCUGCCAGUGGGGAAAGUGGUGGUGGAGCAUCGGCUGUUUCAGAUGGGAGUGGCAGCAGCAUAACAUCCUCUGCUUCCCUUUUUCCACUGAAGGUACUGCCAUUGACAUCCCAUCUUGUUGAUGGUGAGGAUGAGAGUAGUUGUGUGCAGUAUGGCACCCACAGUUGAGUUGCACAGCUUUGUGGAUUUGAACAUGAAGUACUCCAGUUAUACCAGAGGUACAUUUACCAGUAUACCUUGUAUCCAGAGCAUUACAACUUGAUUCAUUCUCCAGAAUAGCAGAAGCAGCAGACUGAACCUACACUGGAAUGUGGUUUUUAAAUACGGAUAGUUUUAUUUCAAAUGUCUUCAAAAAGAUCAACAGUGCUCAUGCUAUCACUAAGUGUCAGUUUUUAAAAAUAGUUGUCAACUAAACACAAGACACCUGAACAAUUUUUAACUGGUGAAAAAUAUUUCCUGCAUGUUCAAAUAUUUCCAAUUGCAUGAAACAUUAAAAAAAAAAAAACCCCAACAUUUUUGAUGUCUGUGGUGAGUAGUCUUUAUUCUUGGCACAGAAAUGAAUUUCUUCAAGCACUCAAAUGAAAAACGGAUAUAUAAAAUGGAAAUGCCUUAUUAACCUUAGCUUUUCCUAUGUCUGUGAACUGCAGCUGUGCAAUGCCACGGGAUUAAAUCAUCUGAAAGAGUAAGUGGAAUUUAGAUUUCUGUUAAGCAUCUCCUUACCUUUACUCCACCAGACUCCUGUAGCACUUUUGUAUGGGCAGAUAUACCUAACAUCGUAUAUGAAUGUGAUACAUAAAUUAUAACAGUCAGUUGUCACGUAAGAGCAAUUGCAGAAAUCAGAAGAACAAAACUUUAACCACAUUAAAAUUGGUUUCACACGCUGGUCACACACUUAAAGUAACUUAACCUUUUAGUAAGUCAUUUAAAAAGAUUUCAAUUUAACAUUAUUGCUCAAAAUGAAAGCUUUUAGUUUUAAUUCUUUACUUCCUACCUUCAUACUCCUCUGAUUUAAUAGUCUUUACUCUAGGGGUGGUGGAAAAUAUAAUGUGUUCCCAACAGGGCACACAGCUUAACUAUAUAAACCAGUGCUUAUUCUAAACUCCAGUCCUUGGCAUUUUCUUUAACAGCAACAAGUAUAAACCAAUAAAGGUGUGGUAUGAUUGGGGUCAAAAGAGUCCAUACAUAGCAUAUGAGAACCUUUUCUGCUUGUUCAGGAGCUCUGAAAACUUUUAGUCCUUUUAAAGAAGAACAAGUUAAAAUUACUGAAUGAGAACCCAGAUCUGUUCACUACUUGGUUUAUAUAUGCUGAACUGAUUCUAAUGUUGUUAACUCAACAGUACUAACUCUUGACAAUCUCUUCUUACUAAACUGAAACACAGAAAUGUUCUGUAUGAAUAAUAAUCCUUCAAUUUCAGUAGUGUUAAUAUCUUUGAUUAGAAGUCUACUUAUUUUUCUAAUACUCCUCACAGUAAUUACAUUCUAAUAUCUCAAUCCUGUUUGUGAUACAGACACUGCCAUUGAUGGUCAUAGUAUUUAUAUUCUAAAUCAAAUGUUGAGUCCUGAGAUUUUCCUUUUAUUAUUUAUUAUGGUGCUUCUGUAGCAGGCCUUUAGAUGUGUUCUGAGGGCUGCUUAAUUGGAUAAAUUAUUUGAAAACAAAAUCGGAAGGCCCAAACAUGCAUUCAGAGAAUUGGAGAAGCAGAAUUGUUAUAGAAUGGAAAGGUAUGAUUGAUUAGUCCUAGAAAUAAUCUCAGAAAACUUAUUAACUAGAUUCUCUGCAGUAGGAUUAUGCAUAUGGCACAAGGUGAUGUAUGCUAACUUUGGAUGUUUUUGCCAACAUGGAUAACUUCUCUUUCAUUAAAGAAGGUUGACAUUUAGACAUUUCUUACGAAUUUCUUCUUUCUACUGGCUAACUAUAUACUUUUCUUAACUAAUCCCCACAAUGCUUUUGUGGUGUGUAAAUAAGUAUUAUCCUCACUUGGCAGAAGAAGCAACUGAAACAGAGGUUGAGAGUUUUGGCUGGGUCUUUGUCAGAGCCUGGAUUUGAAACAAGAGGUCCCAGCUCCAUCUGUAGUCCACUAGACCACAGUUUCUUCCUGGCCCCACUGAAGACGAUGGAAAGACACACGUGGGCUUCUGUGGGUCCAAGGUUUCACCCUUGAUCAUGUAUUUAAUGGCAGCAUUAUAGAAAGGCAUAGAGGUGGCUAUAGAAGAACUCAUCGCAUUUAAUGAUUCAGUCUUAUGUGCUGAUGGCCUUUUGCAAGGUACUGAAUGUCUUCAUCUUGCCUUGAUGACUGUUGUAUGUGAGGAUGCUCAUCAACUCAUAGCCUCUGUGUCUAAAGUCUGGCAAGAAAAGUUUCCUAUUAGUUUUAUAAAUUAGUCUAUUAUAUUACGGAAGUUUUUUAAACAGCUUUAAUGUUUAUAAACUACUUUGCUAAAAAUAUUGACUUUAGCCUGAGAUUUCUAUAAAUUACCCAUAGCUGCCUUCAUCUUUGGGAAGUUUUCAGUUUAAAAAUUAAUAGGGUUCCACAUAAAUGUAAAAUGUUUAUCAGAAUAUCCUUUUUUAAAUCUGUUGGUUAGAGAAAUGGGGAUUGCUAUUUUUAUUUCCACUUAGUCUUCAUCUUAUCUGGUAGGAGCAUAAAAUUUGGUACAAGUAAAAGCUGCUGUGUUAAAUGGCUGUACAUUAAAAUAGUUGCUUAAUAAUUUACUGUAGUAUUCAGAUGAGUCUGAGGUAUAAGUGCACAGGACUCUAAUCUGUAGAAUGAGUUCAGUAUGUUAAGAAAGGGACCGCAUAUUGUACUGCCAAAUGCUGUUAGUAGGAGUAAUAUCUUAAACUGGGUGAAAUUGUGAGUCCUAAACUUUUUUUUUUUUUUUUUUUUUUUUUUUUUUUUUUUUUGGAAAUGGUUCAAAGGGUUUUUGUGCAAAUCCUCUCUGCAUUUUUUUUUACCUGCCAGGUUUAUAGAAAUAGUGUUUACAAUUUCAUAUUUGCUGUGAAAGGGAGUAAUUAUACUUUAAAAAAGGGGAGCAUGUUGAAAUAUUUCUAACCCCUUUUUAAAACUAGAUCUGUGAAAUGAUAUUAAGCUUAAAUACAACUAUUGAUAGUGUCCUUUAUCUGUGCUAGAAAAUUAGUGAAUUUAAUGGUAUAAUUUUUUUGAGUUGUGAACACCAAAACUGCAGUGUUGCUCUUUAGAUAUAUGUAAUCUCUGUUGGAAAGCUGCCAAACAUGUUCUCUGUUUGAGAAAACUUAGGACCUUAUGAAAAGUGUGUACAUUUUUUUUCUGGCUUCUUGUGUUGUACUUUUCUGAAUGGGUUUCUUAUUCUGUAAUGAAUGGUACUAUCUCUAAAUAUUUAAUGCGGCAUAACUUUAAAUGUUUUAAUUUUAUAUGGCCACCGUAUAUUUUUGUUGUUGUGAUCAGGUAUGUUGGUUACCUUGCCUGUUAACUAACCUCUACUUUUAGGGUUUUGUAUCUUCUUGCUGCCGACUGUAUUGACUGUUUAUGUUGGAAUACGGCAGGGGAUGUUACUCAGCACCUUUGUUCCCUUUAAUAGGCUAGAAACUAACAUGUGAAUAGAGGAAAAACGUAAUAGUGGGACACCUUAUUUUUUGAUCCUAAAAAGGGGUUGUAUUCUUAAGGAAUGGAAAAUUAGAAAUAAUUUUUAAAAGUAGAUGACUUAACACUGAAAGUCUUUGAUUUUUUUGCAUUUGUCAAAUGGUUUGAAUGAAAGGUCCCUGCAUUUCAAUGUACCUUGUUACUGUAUACACUAUUUAAAUUCUAGAGCAAGAUUCAUUUUAAUAUGGAUCUUAAACUAUUAUAGGAAAAGAAUAUUUCUAGUUUUUGGCAUUCUGUAAUGUCAAAUACCUGUUAAACAGUUGAUUUAAUAGCCUGUAAAUAUCACAGAAGUUAAAGUAAGAAUUCUGCAAGUAACACAGUGGAAACUUAAAGUAUGUACACGUGUAUAUACUUAUAAACAAACCUGUUUUGAGAUUUAUUGACCUAAAAAGUCUCUCAGCUUAACAAGUAAAAUAGACCUUAACAGUUGAGCUGAAAUGUGAACUGAAAACUUUUUGUAAACUUGAAAACAAAAAGCAACAGCAUCAACAACCAAAAAAGUGAGAUUCCACAAAAGCAAAACCUACCUGUUAAAAGGUUAAAAAUGAAACCAUUUUAGAAUUAAUAUUCGUGGAUAUUUUAAAAUUGGGUCCUCCUUUAUUUAGUGAUAUGAAAAGAUUUCAGUGUUCUGUAUUUUUCCUGCAAGUGAUGAUGACAUAGUUAAAGUAUGGUUAAGGUCAGGAUGGUGACUGUAAAAAAUAGCAUCUUCUGAACCCAACAGAUGUUUCCUUUAUCUCAUCUGCUUAAUUUUCUGAACGAAUAAGAUUUUUUCCAAAAAAUAACUGCACUUGAUUUUUUAUUUGUUUGAGAUGAAGAACAUACCUUCUUCAAUUUUCUUCAAUGAAAUUUCAGAUUGCUCCAUAUCAUAGCAUUCCUGUCUUUACUGAAGUGAAGCAAGAAAACUUUCGAGCAUUGUUAGGUGUUUUUCACUAACUUUUCUAGAGGAAAAAAGAAUACUGAGUUUGAAUUUGAGUAAGUAAAUGAAAGAAUGAACGGUCUUCAAAUAUGUGAUUUAAAAGUCUAAUUUGUUUUUUUUAGUUUACACACAUUCUGUUAUGAGUUCUUGAACUUUUGAGCGCACUUGUAAAGAGUUUAAGGUUAUCCUCGUGUGAUGGGAUGUACAGACCCCACAUGGAGCCUGAAGUACUGGUAGGGCAGUACUGGUCCCAGGUAGCCUGGCCCCUCCAGACCUGCAGAGCAUGCUCCAAUUGGAGAAAGGGUUGAAAAGGGAGUAACCGAGCUCAGGAGGGGAAGGUAUGGGGAGGAGGACAGGCCUUGUCUGGAAAGCUCCUGACAAGGACACCGGAGAAGCCUUCUCAAGGGAAGAGUAUAAGAUUUAUUAUUUAUUUUUCAGUGGCCUAUAAUUCAGCCAAAUGUGCAUUGGAUUUUCCUGGAAAUGGCAAAAGGCACAUCUUUAACAUCAGGGAGGUCUCCCUCUUCCUCCCGUCAAAUUUUAAGUGUCUCUGCUCUAAAGCAUGGUGAUUCUACAGCUUCUCCAUGAAACAGCUGUAAGAACUUUUUAACCUAGGGGAACACUGUUUUUUUCCUAACCUUGUUCUUGGACAAGGCUGAGCUGUUUUAGCUGAAAUCUCAUAAAUUAAAUGAGUUUUGGUGAGAGAAAAAUCUCACGCUUCAGUACAUAAGCCAACUUCUAACUAUUCAGGGUUAAGAGGAAACUUUCCCUGGGGCAGGUUACUCAUGCCUACUUUCAGCAGUUUUCUUGCACUUUCUUCUAAAGCUUCUAGUAUUUAUAGUUGUUGGAGACAAGAUGGUGCACUGAUCCAGUAUGAUAACUCUUAUGUUUCAAACUAGAAAUAAAAAAAAACAAUGGAGUCAUAAAUCAAAUCUCAGUUUUGCCUAGUUGAGUACACAGGCUCAAGGAAGGUGGGAAGGAGGGGAAAGCAAUGUAAUGGGAUGAAAAGGCAAAUGAAUAGUCGUUUUUUUUUCCUAUUCAGUUGUUUAUAGAAUCUCAAAUGAUCAAAACUGGUCAUGUAGCCAUUAAAUACCAGCCAUAACUCAGUGGCAUAAGGCACUGGCUUUAUACAAUAAUAAAGUUUAAGAUUGUAUUGGAUCUUUUAGGUACAGAAAAGUUGUAGCCAAAACAAUAUUGUACUAAAGCAUCACUACAAAAAUGUCAAAAUUGGAGUGCUGUUACUAUAAACAGCAUGGCUGAACUGAAACAUUCUUAUUCAUUUAGUCUUUGUUGCUCAGGAAGCCAUUCUCGUGCUUGAAAAAUGUAAUUGUCAGCACAUCAAUUGCUUAAAAUAGCACUUCAGAGACUAAAGCUCUGAUAUUGAAGCGCCACUGGAAAACAUCCAAGUGGCCUGUAAAAGCCAAAUACUGUAAACAGUGUAUAAUAAGCUAAGCUUUUUCAAUUUUUUUAGAAAUAUUUUAAACUGAUUUCUGAAAAUCUUGCACUUUAUCAAAUUCUUUUUAAAUUGUGUUAUUCAUAAACCAUAGAAUGCUUUUAAGGAGCAAGUUGCAAUGCUUUGGCUAAAAACAUGGGUUAAUUACAUUAUGAAUGCAAAUAUUUAACUUAGUUUUCUGUCUUCAUAAAUUUAUCCAGGGUGAUUAGCCAUCAGUAGAUACAAAAGACAAGGGAGGAAGUCCCAUCAGUAGGGUGCAAGGUCAAGGUCUGGACUUCUCUGCUUUUUCCCUACCCCAUGUCUUUUUAGAUGCUUGUAUGUCUCCUGGCAGGGUCCACAACAGGACCCAGGUGGCGUUCGUCUUUGAUUCAAACCUCUUGCUAGCAGUGGUCUGAUAAACUUGAAGGUCUAUGCUGGAAGCAGAAGGCACUUUCUAUUGGUUUGUUUUCUUCUAGCUGCGGGGGAGGUUUAAAAUCUUUGCUACUUCACCCUUCUAUAGGUGUAUCUGCUGUAAGAGAAAGGAAAGAGGUGUCUUACUCUGCCCACUACAGGAGUCUCUGUGAAUAACUCCACUGCCUCUCUCUGCUCCUAUUUUCCUAAGCAGCAGCAUUAUGAAAUUACCAUAGUUCUUUCAUUUCAGUGCUGUUUUCAGGGUUCUAAAUAAAAGCAGUGAAACUUACUAGUCUUGUUUUGUUUUUACUGCUCUCCUAGCCAUUCAGAGUGGUUUCCCUUGUCACUGGGUCUCUCUUGAAUCUCUGAUUUGUGUGUAUUCACUCUCUCUUUUUUGCUCAAUAGCUAGUCACAACAGGGAAAGUCAAGGACUUGACUCUGAACAUCCAUGUCUCUUGUUUUUAAUGGCCUUUAACAUCUCAUCAGUUGUAUGCAUCACCCUAGCAACUCUAGAAAGAUGUUUAAGAAUUCCUAAAAAAGUGUACUUCAGAGUUGAGUAACUUGGUUAGCUUUUAAAUGACUUUGUCUUGGUAAGAUCUUUACCAUCAAGAGUUAGUCAGCGUGGUGUAUGUAUUUCUGCCCUUUCAUCUGUGGUCAGUUUGGCAGCAGAAUGUUUACAGCAUAAAAUUAUAGUAUGUAUGUUUUGCCUGGUUGCCACUUGCAAAUGAAUAUUGGCUGCAAAUGAAUAUUCUGCUUAACCAUCAUUUUGUACCUUGAUAGAUAUCUUAAUUUUGUUUCCAAUGAAGUGGUGGUUCUUGCAUCUACUGCGAAGUAGAUAUUCCUCAUUGGAAUGCUUGUAUGCAUUGUUUCACAGACAGAAGAUAUUUUUUGUACCCACGUAUACAAAGCAAUCUCAAGGAUUCUUGCGGAAAUAAAAUAUUGAAAAGGAAAUUUUCCCUAACAAAUUUUAAAUUUAACAGUUUAAAUAUUAUUUUAUCCAUAAAUAAGUUUUAUUAAUUCAAUUAAAGUACAGUAAAGUGCAUAAUUGGGGGUAAGGGAGAAAGCAAAUUAGUGUAGUAGACUAAAUACUCUAUUUUAUGGUUGAAGUAGGGGUACAAAAAUUAUUGAAGGCAUAUGAAAAAAGCAAAAAAGCAAAUACGCCUUUUGUAAUCUUUUCCAGUGUACCUCCAUACUGUAUAAGAGUUGAGUAUUUAAAGAAAUAUACAGAAUUUCUAAAUUUUACUAUAAAAACAAUAAGGAAAAUAGUUUUUAAAAAAUGUAGUACCAGAUUUGUUAGAAAAAUGGCUUCAGAAACAAGCAUCUACUGAGUGGUACUGAAGCAUCUUCUGUCUUGCUAUUUUUUCUGAAUUUAAAUUUGGCAUUCAAAGUCUUUUAUGUUGUACUGUCUACAUGUAGUCAUAUAUCACAGUAUGGUUAACUUGCUCAUAGACGGAUAAAAAUUCAGUGCAGGAAAUAAAAAUGGUACUGGAUAUGUUGAAUAUCCUUUAAAAAUGUUUUGCUGAGUAUACUGAUGUCAUUAAAGUUGUCCAUAGGCCCCAGGAUUGACUGCUGUAGGCCCCAUAUUGUUAUCAAAUCUAUUGGCUUACCUUAAUUAGUAAUUGAUACCCUCUCAGUCAAAACUGAGAAGGAAGUUGUCUGCUCAGUGUAAGUUUCAGUUUUGCAAAUCCUUUAGCCUUGCAUUAUAACUGCUCAAUCUCCUUUUUGGGGGAGUGUUAACUGCACAAAAUUCUGUUACUCUCACUUCAGGGGCACCCACCUUUAACCCUUUUCCUAGGGCUCAAGGCGAAACCCUCUUAAUUUAGGCACCCACCCUUUCCCUUCUGGGGGCUUAGGGUAUAACCUUACACUUCACAGGUUUGUGGGGUCUUUUACCAGUGAAAGAGCCUGACAUGGUAAUAUCCUACUUAACAACACUUGCCAAAACACCAUGUACACGCUAUACAUACAAUGCUUACCGCUCCCAAUAAAGCAGAUGAACUUUUCUUGAUGGCCAGUCAGGAUCAGGUCAUCUGGGGGACUCCAGUUUCUGCACGAUGGCAUUGGCAAGGAGUUGAGGUCUGGCAGCUCUAAUCUUGGGGUUGUAUCCUGGAGUUGGUUCCCAGAGAACUUCUUUUGGACUACAGUUCAUAUACUGAAACUUGAGUCUUGCUCAGCUGUACCCUAAUCAUUUUACUAACUAAUCCUAACAUAUUGUAAUAAAAUGAUCUAACCAAUCAUAACCCAUCACCUUAAUUACACCUAGCAAAAAUAAUUAUGUAACAGAACAAAACACACAGAGAUCAUACAGAGAAACAAUAGAGAAGUGGGAACGGUAAAGUUAAAACAAUAGUGAGGCUUUCACAACCACAACUAUUGAUUACGUGAUUUCUUGCCAGACAGAACGCUAUCAAACUAAGUUUUCUUUACCAUCUUAGGAGCUGUUUCUGUAACUGGUGAUAGUGGGUGCUAUUAGGACGGGAUCCCUUUAACAGCCUGAUACUACAUUAUUUGUUUUAAUGUAAUUCAGAUGGAAUGUGAGGAUGUAAUUUUUCUGCUUCUUGGGUAAUGGCUGCUACUCUCCUAAUAUGGCUACGGACAAAGGCCUUAGGCUUUACAAUAUGGCUACAGGAAAAGGCUGUAUCCUUAUAGUAGAGAAGUAUUCCAUAAUACUUUUGAGGUCGUAACUACUUUAAUUGAGACUAAUAUAAGAAAUCCCAAGAAAUGGUUCCCAAAGUUAAAUAGUAAAGAUGAGACAAAACUUAUAACAUUUGAGCUGCCAGGAGUGGUUGUGCUAGCAACUGAUGAGUAUUGCCAACUUGAGUGUUGGCCUGUACCUCCUGAUGCAGGAGCCAAGUUGAAUUAAAAGCACCACCACACUUGAGUCCCACCUACACACAAAAACCCUUUACUCAAGUUAGUAGCAACAUUAAGUUGUAACUUGAGGUUAAGUGUACAGUCAAGGCAAGUCUAAAGUGCCUGAAUCACUUUAAAAUGGUACUUGUGUGCCUUAGUCAUUUCGGCGCUUUUGAAAAUGUUAUCCUUGAGUUAUUUUGUAAAUAUAGGUAUUGUAUUUGAUUUUCAGCAGCUGUUCCAGGAAUCCUGUUUUAGAAGCUGAAAGAUUCCAUACACAUUUUAGUGGUUGUGCUUGGAUUCUGGAGGAGGAAGAUAACUGGUUUGAUUUUGGUAUAAUCCAAAUUACUCUCUCUACUUUGAAUGUGAUUAAAAAUUAGUGGUAGAAUGGUCAUUAAUCUGAGAUCCAGAAAGUCCUGAAGAUGUCGCUCUUAAAGUAUAAAUGGAUUAGCAAAAUAUCAGUUUUUAAGUAAUCCUGAACAAGUGAGUAAGUAAUCAAAUUACUAUAUGUUUAACAGAUUAUUCAGCAACAUGCAUUUUCCAACAGAUGUCAAACAUGCUAAUCUGUAGCAUUGCAUAACAUUGUAGUAAAUAACAGAAUUGGGUGUAAAAGAAAUGA